rnacentral:siRNA from 1 species
GGCUAGCUUUGUUUGAGGAUUUC